GCUAGUUCUUGCUUCAACCGGAGCUGAGAUAUAAGCAGAUACAAAUGAGUUUGCUGAAAUGUGUUUAUCCUAGGGAAGCCAAAGCACGUGCAGUGAUGCUUGGCUUUGCUUUAAGUAAUAAAAAGCACAACAAGAAAUUCACCAACGUGGUGAGUGUUUGGUGAUUUGAAAAUCUCCAAACUUUUAUUUUCCAGCCUUUAAAGUAUCAUACAGGAGAAGGUGCAGAAAAAGCCAACAGUUCAAGUAAAAGAAGAGAAAUGAGUCAUCAUCCUGGAAAAGAUGGAAACAGCGAGAGUCGCAUAGAAGAAUGAGACCCCAGGUGCUGCAAUGGACAUCCUGCAUGUUAGUGCUGGGUCAGUCUUCGGGGACUUUUCUCUGUUUUGCUUUCUGGACUCCAGGGAAAGGGGUUCCUCAGUAGCUGGCUGCUUCUCACCAGCUAUAUGCCCACAGAAUGAUUUUCAAGGCUGCUUGCUGUUGACCACUGUGAACAACACAAAAAGCUUGCAAAAGAGACAGCAUAAAGCCAGUUAUUGAAGGGGCGAGCCUGUCAGCCUGCGAUUGUUGAUGUGCAGCUAGGGAAUGAUGAAGAAGUAUUUUGAAAAUCCGACUGUCUGAUAUCAGACCAAAACUAAGUGAGAUGCACGAAGCAGCACUAUGGCAACUCCUUGUUAUUCGAAUAACAUGUCUUUAUAACCUUCCUUUCUCCUGCAGCACUAUUUCCCUGUUGACCCCAUGCAGUCCUCUUUUUCUACAGACUGCACAGAUAAAGCUUAAUAUUCGAUAAAUAAUAAAUCAAGUUACUUGGAGUUAUACA
rnacentral:lncRNA from 1 species